UACGUAGGGGGCAAGCGUUGUCCGGAAUCAUUGGGCGUAAAGAGCGUGUAGGCGGCCCGAUAAGUCCGCUGUGAAAGUCCAGGGCUCAACCCUGGAAUGCCGGUGGAUACUGUCGGGCUCGAAUCCGGAAGAGGUGAGUGGAAUUCCUGGUGUAGCGGUGAAAUGCGCAGAUAUCAGGAGGAACACCAAUGGCGAAGGCAGCAUCCUGGACCAACACUGACACUGAGGAGCGAAAGCCAGGGGAGCAAACGGG
rnacentral:rRNA from 1 species